rnacentral:rRNA from 1 species
AGCAGCCGCCACGGGAAUACGAGGGGAGCUAGCGUUGUUCGGAAUUACUGGGCGUAAAGCGCGCGUAGGCGGCUUUUUAAGUCAGAGGUGAAAGCCCGGGGCUCAACCCCGGAAUUGCCUUUGAAACUGGAAAGCUAGAAUCUUGGAGAGGUCAGUGGAAUUCCGAGUGUAGAGGUGAAAUUCGUAGAUAUUCGGAAGAACACCAGUGGCGAAGGCGACUGACUGGACAAGUAUUGACGCUGAGGUGCGAAAGCGUGGGGAGCAAACAGGAUUAGAUACCCCGGUAGUCCCUGUCUCUUAUAU